rnacentral:rRNA from 1 species
AUGUCCUGGUGGAAAUUGUGUGUUCCUAAAAAUCAAGGAGGAAUGGGAUUUUGUGAUAUCCACUACUUUAAUUUGGCACUACUCGCCAAACAGGCAUGACGUCUGUUGGAUAAUCCUGAUACCUUGUACGCUUCUAUCCUAUGGCCAAAAUAUUACCCCGAUGGUGAUCUGUUAAAUGCGAAGUUAAAGAAAGACUCUUCCUUUACAUGGAAAAGUAUAAUGGCAUGCACAAAUACACUGAAGCGUGGCUAUAUUUGGCGAGUGGGGAACGAACACACCGUUAAUAUUUGGGAAGAUGCCUGGAUCACAAACUAUGCAAUUAGGAAAAUUGUAACGCCUAAGGGAGGUAAUAUGAUAACUAAGGUAGGUGAUCUCAUUGAUCCCGCUUCUAAUAUUUGGUAUGAAGACCUGAUUGAACAAACUAUGUGGCCAAUCGAUGUAUAA